AAAUUGAAGAGUUUGAUCAUGGCUCAGAUUGAACGCUGGCGGCAGGCCUAACACAUGCAAGUCGAGCGGUAGCACAGAGAGCUUGCUCUCGGGUGACGAGCGGCGGACGGGUGAGUAAUGUCUGGGAAACUGCCUGAUGGAGGGGGAUAACUACUGGAAACGGUAGCUAAUACCGCAUAACGUCGCAAGACCAAAGUGGGGGACCUUCGGGCCUCAUGCCAUCAGAUGUGCCCAGAUGGGAUUAGCUAGUAGGUGGGGUAAUGGCUCACCUAGGCGACGAUCCCUAGCUGGUCUGAGAGGAUGACCAGCCACACUGGAACUGAGACACGGUCCAGACUCCUACGGGAGGCAGCAGUGGGGAAUAUUGCACAAUGGGCGCAAGCCUGAUGCAGCCAUGCCGCGUGUGUGAAGAAGGCCUUCGGGUUGUAAAGCACUUUCAGCGGGGAGGAAGGCGAUAAGGUUAAUAACCUUGUCGAUUGACGUUACCCGCAGAAGAAGCACCGGCUAACUCCGUGCCAGCAGCCGCGGUAAUACGGAGGGUGCAAGCGUUAAUCGGAAUUACUGGGCGUAAAGCGCACGCAGGCGGUCUGUCAAGUCGGA
rnacentral:rRNA from 1 species